ACAUGCAGCAACACAAGACAAAAAUUCGAAACCCGUUUAGCAUGUUAAGCAUUAGUUACUUUUAUUGGAAACAAAAACACAAACAAACAAAAAACGCCCAAAAUACAUAAUGUUAUUUAAAAAUGCUGGUGGAAAUUAAAACGUUAGGGGUAGGGUGGGGGCUUGGGACUCGCUCCAUCACAAGCAGUUCACUUGCUCACUGCCUCGGCCCAGUGUUACCAGGUGACUCCUUCCACAGCCUCUAGGGCUCUGGAACCCCGGGAGAUCGUGAUUCCGCCGGAGAGCACCCCCUGGUGGCUAGCUCUGAAGAGGCUGUGUCUGAACUGCAGGGCAGGAAAGUAAGGAGGCUGACAGUUGAACACCGGGCCCCUGCCUCCCCCACAGCUGUCACCACUGCACAGAGGAUGGCACUGGAUUGACUGGCAGAAUUCAUCUUCCUCAUGAAGGAGCUGUGACAGGGUUCUCAUCUGGGCUCUGGAGGAGGCCUGGUGACCAGAUGUUCUGGUUCAAGGCCUACUGGAUGGACAGGGCCAGCCAAAGGGCCAGGAUGUCCCAGCAAGGCUUGGGAGAUGUGGGAUGGCCCUCUUCCCAUGCAGCCUCAAACCCUGGACCGGACCCACAGAUUCUGGAAUAUCUGUCAAGACUCUGGGAAGGCUCUGACCUCACAUAGGACAGUGCCUCCCUCACAAUACAGCAACGUCAGUAGAGGAUGGGUGCCAGAUGCCUGCAUCCUGAGAAGUGGGACUGAGAGCUGAGCUUCUAGCAUGAGAAUGCUGCACAAAGCCCGCCCUGGCUGGUCCUGUACUAUGGGCUGGGCUACUCACCUACCGUGCUCUGCAUCACCCAACCCGAUGGAGAGAAAGCUACCAUUAUCUGAGCGAGUUGCCAUUUUACUGGGCUGGAAACAGGCUGAGACUUGCCCAAGGACAUACAGCCUUGUGAGUGGAAAGCCGGAAUGUGCACACUCUCAACCCUGAAGCUAUGCUGUCUCUAAAGGAGGGCAGGGUGGGUUUGCCUGUGUGUGAAGGACGGGUGCAUACUCUGCGAGGAACCCUGGGACCUUUGGUCCUGGGCCCAUCUUCCCAGCCGGGAUUGAGAGUGCUUCUGGCACAGAAGCCCAAUGGAAGAAGGUGGAUGCCAAGGGCUAGAGGAAUGAGGAGGGGAAUCAGUGUUUUGUGGGCAUAGAGUUUCAGUGUGGAAAGAUGAAAAAGCCCUAGAGAUCUGUUGCACAAUGAUGUGAAUAUACCAAACACUUCUGACCUGUACAAUUAAAAUGCUUAAUAUAGUCAA